ensembl:snRNA U1 U1 spliceosomal RNA
UUAAAAUCCUGGUAGGGGAUAUACCACAAUCACAAAGGUGGAUUUCCCAGGGUGAGGCUUACCCAUCGCACCCCGAAUGUGCUGACCCCUGUGAUUUCCCCAAAUGUUGGAAAUUCGAUGGCAUAAUUUGUGGUAGUGGGGGACUGUGUUCAUGCUCUCCCCUG